rnacentral:rRNA from 1 species
AGCGAACGCUGGCGGCAGGCUUAACACAUGCAAGUCGAGCGGGCACUUUCGGGUGUCCGCGGCGGACGGGUGAGUAACGCGUGGGAACGUGCCCUCUGGUUCGGAAUAACUCAGGGAAACUUGAGCUAAUACCGGAUACGCCCUUUUGGGGAAAGGCUUGCUGCCGGAGGAUCGGCCCGCGUCUGAUUAGCUAGUUGGUGAGGUAACGGCUCACCAAGGCGACGAUCAGUGGCUGGUCUGAGAGGAUGAUCAGCCACACUGGGACUGAGACACGGCCCAGACUCCUACGGGAGGCAGCAGUGGGGAAUAUUGGACAAUGGGCGCAAGCCUGAUCCAGCCAUGCCGCGGGAGUGAUGAAGGCCUUAGGGUUGUAAAGCUCUUUUAUCCGGGACGAUAAUGACGGUACCGGAGGAAUAAGCCCCGGCUAACUUCGU